rnacentral:rRNA from 1 species
GGCUCACCUAGGCGACGAUCCCUAGCUGGUCUGAGAGGAUGACCAGCCACACUGGAACUGAGACACGGUCCAGACUCCUACGGGAGGCAGCAGUGGGGAAUAUUGCACAAUGGGCGCAAGCCUGAUGCAGCCAUGCCGCGUGUGUGAAGAAGGCCUUCGGGUUGUAAAGCACUUUCAGCGGGGAGGAAGGCGAUAAGGUUAAUAACCUUGUCGAUUGACGUUACCCGCAGAAGAAGCACCGGCUAACUCCGUGCCAGCAGCCGCGGUAAUACGGAGGGUGCAAGCGUUAAUCGGAAUUACUGGGCGUAAAGCGCACGCAGGCGGUCUGUCAAGUCGGAUGUGAAAUCCCCGGGCUCAACCUGGGAACUGCAUUCGAAACUGGCAGGCUAGAGUCUUGUAGAGGGGGGUAGAAUUCCAGGUGUAGCGGUGAAAUGCGUAGAGAUCUGGAGGAAUACCGGUGGCGAAGGCGGCCCCCUGGACAAAGACUGACGCUCAGGUGCGAAAGCGUGGGGAGCAAACAGGAUUAGAUACCCUGGUAGUCCACGCCGUAAACGAUGUCGAUUUGGAGGUUGUGCCCUUGAGGCGUGGCUUCCGGAGCUAACGCGUUAAAUCGACCGCCUGGGGAGUACGGCCGCAAGGUUAAAACUCAAAUGAAUUGACGGGGGCCCGCACAAGCGGUGGAGCAUGUGGUUUAAUUCGAUGCAACGCGAAGAACCUUACCUGGUCUUGACAUCCACAGAACUUUCCAGAGAUGGAUUGGUGCCUUCGGGAACUGUGAGACAGGUGCUGCAUGGCUGUCGUCAGCUCGUGUUGUGAAAUGUUGGGUUAAGUCCCGCAACGAGCGCAACCCUUAUCCUUUGUUGCCAGCGGUUAGGCCGGGAACUCAAAGGAGACUGCCAGUGAUAAACUGGAGGAAGGUGGGGAUGACGUCAAGUCAUCAUGGCCCUUACGACCAGGGCUACACACGUGCUACAAUGGCAUAUACAAAGAGAAGCGACCUCGCGAGAGCAAGCGGACCUCAUAAAGUAUGUCGUAGUCCGGAUUGGAGUCUGCAACUCGACUCCAUGAAGUCGGAAUCGCUAGUAAUCGUAGAUCAGAAUGCUACGGUGAAUACGUUCCCGGGCCUUGUACACACCGCCCGUCACACCAUGGGAGUGGGUUGCAAAAGAAGUAGGUAGCUUAACCUUCGGGAGGGCGCUUACCACUUUGUGAUUCAUGACUGGGGUGAAGUCGUAACAAGGUAACCGUAGGGGAACCUGCGGUUGGAUCACCUCCUUA